GCAGUAGCCGCGGGAAAACGAAGGGUGCAAGCGUUACUCGGAAUUACUGGGCGUAAAGCGUGCGUAGGUGGUGGUUUAAGUCCGUUGUGAAAGCCCUGGGCUCAACCUGGGAAUUGCAGUGGAUACUGGGUCACUAGAGUGUGGUAGAGGAUAGUGGAAUUUCCGGUGUAGCAGUGAAAUGCGUAGAGAUCGGAAGGAACAUCUGUGGCGAAGGCGACUAUCUGGGCCAACACUGACACUGAGGCACGAAAGCGUGGGGAGCAAACAGGAUUAGAGACCCGUGUAGUCCCUGUCUCUUAUAC
rnacentral:rRNA from 1 species